UAAGGGUACAGGGUGGAUGUCUUGGCAUCGAGAGGCGACGAAGGACGCGACAGCCUGCGAAAAGCCACGGUUAGCCGGCAAAUAGGCAUUGAUCCGUGGAUGUCCGAAUCGGGAAACCGGGUGGCGGCUCAUACCCGUCAUCAUCCUUACCUGAACGCAUAGGGUAAGCGAAGCGAACGCAGGGAACUGAAACAUCUCAUUACCUGCAGGAAAAGAAA
rnacentral:rRNA from 1 species